rnacentral:tRNA from 1 species
GCACAGGUAGCUCAAUAUGUAGAGCAAGACACUGAAAAUGUUUGGGCUGUUAGUUCAAAUCUAGCCCUGGGCA